UCUAGGGACUGAAGUGAGGCUGACUGGCCUGUAGUUACCCAGAUCCUCUUUCUUCCCUUUUUUAAAGAUGGGCACUACAUUAGCCUCUUUCCACUCAUCCACAAGUACUUUAUAUGACCCCAUUCCCAAGGCUUCAUCUCCAAUGUCUACAAGUCUGGUUGUAGACUGUGUACAUACUGGGCAAGCACAGUCUCAACAUGCCAGUCAUGGUUCCUCAAAGGGUCUUAGUCUCUGUUACUUGGUGUGGAGACAGAGGAAAGAUAUGUGUGGGGGUGCCGUUCAACUCUCCACUUCCAACAAAGACUAUAACAAUACUUUAAUCUCUUUUAGGUUGGGGAGCAUACAUGAAGGGACAGGUUGCUCAAGGAAGAUGGUCUUCUCAGGAGUCUCUGCUUCACAUCAAUGUAUUAGAGUGAAUCGCUUCAUGAGGAGUGUGAUUUAAGUCUUCCAUCCAAUGGCAAAAUCUGUAUCAUCCUGGGAUUCAAACCUUGUUUUAUCAACCCUUAGUAAGUUAUUGUUCAGGCCCCUGGCAUCCUGCUCUCUACUACAUCUCUCUGUGAAGGUAGCAUUUUUGGUUGCUAUUAUGUCAUCCAGAAGAGUCAGGAAGCUGGGGGCUCUUAUGGCUGAGCCUCCUCCCACCCCCAGUUUUCCAUAAGGACAAAGAUUCCAUUCCUAAGGUGGUGUCAGAUUUUCACAUUACCUGUGUUUUACCCUAACCCUCACUCUAGCAGGGCAGAGGUGUUGUGGCACUCACUGGAUGUGUGUUGGGUUCUUGUCUUUUACCUGCAGAGGCAAAACCGUUUUGAAGGUCUCCUAGACUUUUUGUACCAUUCACAAAACUUAUGAAAGGAGAGGCCAUCUCCUCCCAGAGACUGCCAAAGUGGAUCUUUUGGUACGUCCUACUUUGCUACAAGAUGAACGUCUCUCUUGAAGGCAGCGUGAGAGUACAGUCAACUAGAGCUGAAGCCGCUUCAAUAACUUCCCUGAGUCACAUCCCUGUUACUGACACCUGCAGGGCAGCAACUUGGAGUUCCAUUCACACCUGCAUUAGACACGAAGCACUGGUGCAAACAGCUGCUUCUGAUACCUCUCUAGGCAGGACAGCUCUGCAGUCUCUUUGUGUCAUAGGACUCCAGGCACCCACCUCCUUUAAAUAAGCAUGGCUUGUGAAUCAUCUGAAGUGCACUGCACAUAGAGACAGUCACUCAAAGGAGGAGAAAGGGUAACUUCAGUUCUUCUAGAUGUUACUGCAAAGAGGGGGCCCUUUUCCUUUUGCAACUCACUGUCUGUGAUUCUAGCUAGUGAGGACACUGUGUUAAUGUGUGCUGGAUGCUGCUCUUUGCUCCCCUUCACUAUAUCCCCUCUGUCUUCUAUUGUACUUCAUCUUGAGCCACUUGCGUCACUUUGCUCACAGUUCUGCAGGAAGUAGAGUCCACUUUAGGCUGCUGCUGCCCCAGGAGGCCAGUCACUGGUUUUAUUGGUGGCUAAGCUGAAUGGGGUGAAGCUGAGACUCCUAGUCAGCUCUAUCUUCUCCAUGCUCCUCAUGUCGCAUAAGGCAGGUUGUGGAGGUUGACUCUGCAGCUGCCCCAGCCCUGCAGAGCUUUGUGGGGCAGUGCACUUCUGAUUGCCGGCUGAGACUGCAGCAGGCUGUGUUGCUCCCCACUCUCAGGGCUGGUUGGCAUGGCUGGAGUGCUGGGUGGGACAGAGCCAAGACUCCCAUUAAUCAGUGAUUCCAGCAGGGCAGAUGACUCUUGUGCAGGGCCAGCUGUGUGGAGGGUCAGCUCAGGGGCUGUGAUCGCCUUGCAAUUGCAGGCAGGCAGUGGACAUUCUGGUUUCCUCGCUCAGUAGCGUAAGGCUGGUUUUAACUUUGCAUGGACUGAUGUAGUUUUUACAUCUCCUUUUAUGUGCUGUUGAGUUGGAUUUUUUUCCUUUAGUAUUAUGAAGCACGUUAUUUCCAUCAGGAGAUAAUAACAAAGGAGAUGGCCAUGUCCGUCCUUGGCUGUUGAGAACCUGGAUCCCAUCAAUCCCUCCAAGAUGUUGACUCUAAGGCGACAGCAGCUGCUGUGUUCAUUGCUGAAUGUGGUACCAGUGGGGAGAAGAUGUCCAUAGAGUCCCCAGCCCUAAGUCCAGAAAUGAUGGUGUAGCACAUCACAUGGGGAAUCACUUACCAGGAAAACCAUUCCACAGUGUGGCUUAUCCUCCCAGAGCUAGUGCUCUGCAGUGAUAGCAAAAAUCUAAGCCAAGGAAGCACCAGUAAAAGACCCUGCUGGCAAAAUAUACUGUCUGUUGAAAAGGAUGUUGGGUUAUGAGGUGCUGCCAGGUGUGGAUGGAAAAAACUGAGCAAUUCUGGUGAUGUGAAGGGGAGAAUGCAGGGAGGGAAGCCCAAUUGCCUUAAUAAAACUUUGUUUUUCCAGAAGUGAAGUUGUGUGAGUUGUUCCAAGGAAAGGGUGGGAAGAGGGCCUGGAACUGUCCUGCCAGUGUCCUAGAGCUAGAGCUGGGCCUUAUGGAGAGGCAUGGGGCAUGGGAAGGGACCCAGGCAGUGGCCUCUCAUUACAGAAUUUGCAUACAAAGUUCAAAGCUGAUAAUCCGCAGUGCUGCAGAAAACUGAGCCAAGGAGACAAUAGGAAGAGGUGUGGCUUUCAGGAUCAGCAAGAGACAGAAACCAAAAGCUCCUUAGAGGUGUUUACAGCAGGAUUAGUCCUGGCAGCAGUUCACAGUAUUCCUAAACUGAGAGUGCAAGUGCAGUUUUGCUACUGAAGCCCUCUCUGAGGGACAUGAUGGCAGGGAUGCUACUGGGAGUGACUGCACAGUAAGAAUGGGGAGUGGGGCCAGGGCCCAAAUGCUUCGAGCUGCACUACAGCUCAGGCACCACUCGUGCACCCCCUGCUUCUGAUUGGUUUUAUAACCUGGAACAAAGGAAGGAGAGGAAGUUUGCAGGGUAAAGCACAUGGGCAACUAUCCUUCAAAGCAGAAUUGGGUAAACUGCAGAUUUGCAUAAAUUUGAAUAGAUCUAGAGUGACUGAGGGAGGGAAAGAGAAUGGAAAUGGAGAGAAAUCCCAGCCUUUCAUGCUUUCCUUCCGUAUCCCUCAGUUUUACAGCGGGGGAAGAGAGGGAGCAUGGAGAAGAUGUUCCUCUUUAGCAGGGGUGGGGGCGGGGAGGAAUGCAGUGCUGGCUGCUACAUAUGCUGAUUGGUGACAUGUUUCAGUGGCUUUGAUUGGCUGCCCAGGAGAUCAGGGAAUGGAGAAGGCAGCCAGUCAAAAGGUUUUUUUCCUGUAGAUUGCUGGAGGGACUGAGACCUAUAGUCUGAAACCCUGUAGAGUUGGCAAGUUUGAUAAUGGCCUUUUCUGUAAGGCCAACUGGUGCAAUCCAAGCAUGCGAGACAGACUGGGAAACCCUAUGGUAGUUAAUAAAACCUUAAGUUUAGAGCAGCUUUGCAAACUGGAAGCGAGGGUCAAUGUCACUAUUACUAGCGAAAAUGUAGACCAGGAUGACACUGUCUGUCAGGAGCAUCAAACACAGCAUCUUGUAUCUGAGCUGAAACGUAACUUUACAAAGACAUCCCUUCUUGAUUUAAAUAUUUCAAGUGAUGGAGAGUCCAUUGCAUCUCUUACUGUGCUGGGCCAAUGGCUGAUCACCAUCAGUCUUUAAAAUGUGCACGUUAUUUCCAUUUUGAAUUUGUCUAGCUUUAACUUCCAGCCACUGAUUGUACUGUGCAUCACUCUACACAGCAAGAGUGGAUGGGGUGAACUUUUAGCCCAGCAGUUAGAGCAGUCAGAUGGGUGAGACCUGGGUUCAGUUUCCCUGUCUCUGUCACGGGGUGAAAGGAUUUGAACAGGGGUCUCUCACCUCUCAGAGAAGUCCUCUAACCACUGAGCUAUGGGAUAUUCUAAUGUGGGGGCAGGUGCCUGUCUCACUCUGUCCAGUUGAAGCUGUUCCACUUUAUGUACAUACUUAGAGUGACUGGAGCAAGGGACCUGGACUCUCGGUCUCCCAUAUGCUGCCCUAACCACUGGACCACAGAGUCAUUCCCACGCUCUUUGGCCUAGUACCUCAUGCCCAAAGUCAUCCAGCAGACACGUAGCAGAGCCAGGAGUAGAAAGCCCAGGGCCAGAAGGGCAGGCAGACCUGCAGGGGCUAAGUGCGUGGAUGAGAUGAUAGCGUAGGGAGGAGGGGUUUAGGUUUAUUAGGAACUGGGGAAAAUUUUGGGAAAGGAGAAGCCUGUACAAGAAUGAUGGGCUCCACCUAAACCAAAACAAAAUCAGAUUGCUGGCAUGUGAAAAUUAGAAAAGUAGAGAAUGUGUUAAAUUAAGGGCUAGGAGAAAGCCGACAGGUGUGGCAGAGCACAUGGUUUGGGUGGACACAUUCCUUAGGGAUUAAUUUAUUAAAGAGGGAACUCUAUAUCUUAGUAAAGAGGAAAGGAAAGAAGUUGGUAAAGUACAGCUCCGCACUAGUGAGAAACAGUCAAAUGUAAAAGAGCCCCAAUUAAUAUAACACAUGAAGGCAAGAAACUGAAUAUUAACAAAAGUGCUUAUAUAUAAAUAUUAGAAGUCUAAAUACUAAGAUGGGUGAACUAGAGUGCCUGUCAAUAAAUGAGGAUAUCGAUAUGAUAGGCAUUGCGGAAACUUAGUGGAAUGAGGAUAAUCAAUGGGACAUGGUAAUAGCAGGCUGUGACAUACCGACCAUACAAUCCAGACCAGCUGGAGGCUGUAUCACCCCUGCCCUGUUACCUGGGGUACCUUGCAAGGCCUUGCUGCUGUAGCCUCCAACCUGGACUGCUCACAACUAGCCACCAGCAUGCAGGUCAUUCCCAGGCGUGUUUGUGUAACUGCAGCCUGCUAAUCACACCCUGGCUGUAACCAGCCUUGGUUACAUUGCAUGGUGACCCCAAUGAAUUCCCAGUCCCAGAUUUUCCCCCAGAAAUGUAUGUCUUGUACUUCCCAGCCUUCCCUUGGACAGUCCAAAUAUAUUAAAUCUGUUAUUCCUUUAAGGGAAUAAUAUACCAUACCAUCUACUACAAAGAAAGAGAGACUUUAAGUAAGAGCAAGUAAUGAGGUAUAAAAGUCAGAAAUGGUUGCAAGAAAAAUAAAGAUAAAAAAAGAUAAAAGAUAAAAUGCUUUCUAGUGCUUAACUUAACAGACUAUAUUAGAUUCAAGCAAAGUUUCUUAACACGUGCUUCUAGCAAGAUUAUUGACCAAACUCUUCAGGUCAGGACCCCUCUCCCAGAGUCCAAUGGCUGUUUCUUUUGUUUUUUCAGGUGCAGUGAAUGCAAUGGCCAGGGAGAGAGAGGGUUGUGUGUGCUUUGGGGUGAUUUGCCCAUCCUUUUUAUAGUUUCAGUCUUUUCCUCUGCCCCUCCUUGAAAAAUAUUUCCAGCUGAGAGACAAAGUGUCUAUGUGGAAGGAUGUUCUCUGCUGGGUUUUUUUCACCUGUUUGAGCUUCCUUUGUUUUCCCUUCCUGGCUGAUGACUCUGUUUACGCUUAAAUGCAAAUUAAGGCAAGCACACAUUCCUCUGUUUACAACAGACCUGUUUGCAGACUUCUGCCUAGGCAGGGCUGUGAGGUUUGCAACAUGUGUUAAUAACACGAUACAGGGCAAUCUUAUAACUUUACUUACAAUGUUGCCACACAUAUUUUAUUGGGACAAUAUUGACAAGCAAAUUAUCAGUUUCCAAAUGAUAUCUUACAAGGUGUACUUUGUACAGAGAUUUUUACAGUAGUUUGUAGGAUGUGAAUACAGGGCUAUAUUCCGUUACACAGGAUACAAAACAUAAAGGAAUGACAGAGUAGAUCACGCUGACAGGGGUGGCACUCUAUCUGAAAAAAAGCACAGAGUCAAAUGAAGUCAAAAUCUUAAAUGAAUCAAGGUGUACACUAGAUCUCUAUGGAUAGAAAUUCCAUGCUUGAAUAAUAGAGUAUAGCAGUAGGAAUAUAUUACCAACCUCCUGACCAAGAUGGUGAUUGUGAAACACUCAGAGAGAUUAUAAAGGCGCAAAACACAAUAAUAAUGAGGGAUUUCUACUGACUUCAUAUUGACUGGGUAUAUGUCCCCUCAGGGAGGGAUGAAGAGAGAAAAUUUCUAGACAUCAUACAUGACUGUGGCUUGGAGCAGCUAGUCCUGGAACCUACAAAGGGAGAGCCAAUUCUUGAUUUAGUCCUAAGUGGAGCACAGGAUCUGGAUAACAUAGAUAAAUACAUAGAUGCAUAGGCACGGCCACGCAGAUAAACCCAGCAUGUUGGGGAAGAGUCAACACUGCUUUUGUAAAGAGAAAUAAAUCAUGCUUCACCAACAGUUUUAACAGAAUAAUUGCAAAUGAUACAAAAUUACCCAAAAUAGCAAAGGCCAAAGCUGACUGUUAACAGAUACAAAGGAAUCUCACCAGACUGGGUGAUUUGGCAACAAAGUGGCAGAUAAAGUUCAAUGUUGAUAAGUGCAAAGUAAUGCACAUUGGAAAAAAUAAUUCCAACCACACACAAAAAUGAUGGGAUCUAAAUCAUCUGUUACCACUCAAGAAACAGACCUUGAAGUCAUUGUGAAUGACUCUGAAAACGUCUGUUCAAUGUGCAGCAGUUGUCAAAAAAGCUAGCAGAAUGUUAGGAACCAUUAGGAAAGGGAUAGAUAAUAAGAUAGAAAAUACCAUAAUACCACUAUAUAGAUCUAUGGAACACCCUACCCUGAAUACUGUGUGCAGUUCUGGUUGCCCCAUCUCAAAAAAGAUAUAUUAGAAUGGGAAAAGCUACAGCGACGGGCAACAA